AAAUUGAAGAGUUUGAUCAUGGCUCAGAUUGAACGCUGGCGGCAGGCCUAACACAUGCAAGUCGAACGGUAACAGGAAGCAGCUUGCUGCUUUGCUGACGAGUGGCGGACGGGUGAGUAAUGUCUGGGAAACUGCCUGAUGGAGGGGGAUAACUACUGGAAACGGUAGCUAAUACCGCAUAACGUCGCAAGACCAAAGAGGGGGACCUUCGGGCCUCUUGCCAUCGGAUGUGCCCAGA
rnacentral:rRNA from 1 species